AUCAUCUUCUACCUUCGCCUGGAGUCUGUUUCGCGUACGAGUGGGUACCGGCCGCGAAAUAUCCCAAUUUUCUCGCUCGAUUCUGCUCGGAUUUGCUUGCCCCCUUGCCACGAAAAUCCCUCUAUAAAUACCUCAUAAUCUCCUCCGUUUUUCCUCUCCGAAAUCCCCAAUUUUUGCGCCGCCAGGCUGCGCAAAUUUCUCGCCGGAUUACGGCGAAUUUCUCGCCGGAGUACGCCCGCCACCAAGUUCCAAGAAGAACCACAAGAACACGCACACACGAGACCGUCGGAGCUUCGCCGGAGACGGAGGAAUUCAGCCAGGAACCGCCGCUGUUCGGAACUAGCAGAUCGCUGAAGAGUAUGUGACCGAAAUCAUCCCGUGAAGCCGCACCUCACCGUCACCUGCAGAGUCGGAGGCAACAGCACCGCGUCCGUCUCCUUCGUCGCCCUCCACCACUCCCCAGCAUAGUUCGUAGCAGUACGUAGCAGUGAGCCGAUUGCCCGGAUUGCAACGAGUGUGAUUGCGACGACUGUCUGAACACCGACCAAGG